CAUUGCACUGGCUAGUGAGACCAUCAUCUGGCAUGUCUGCAUGGACAGUGGACGGCUGCCGAAAGUUUCGGGCCGUGCGGAGGAGAAGACGAGGACAAAGCAUGCAAACAUGGCAACGUCGAUAGGGUAGAGCUGCGCUGACCUGAGCAUCCCCAGGAUGGUUUUUUCUGGAUUAUAUCGUAUCAAGAGAGAGCAUUUUUGACAAAAAUCAAGGUCCCUGCAAGACGGGUUAGGUCGACGGCUGCCCCAAUAUUUUGUGAUCCUGCUGUACCAAUUAAGUUGAAGUUCAUCACCAAUCAUCCUGAUCGUCUCAAUGCAGAUGGAAGAGUAGAAGAUGUCCCAACUUACCGCUUUCAGAAUGAUUCGAUUGAUAUGGAGCAGUCAUUAUUUGAGGCAAAAAUAAAAGAAGCAUGUUUAGAUGCAUUUGACUUUAAGCUGUCAGUUGAUGGUGAAGAAUGGGACAAUGCUUUCAGCAUUAUCAAAGGGAAGGAAUUCUCCUAUUCCGAAUCAUCUCUGUCAUGGAUGUCACCAAAGCCUACUUUAUUGCCUUCACAGGGCAAGGUUACAUCUAAGGACCUACCGUAUGGCUCAGAGCCUGGAAUGUGCGCUGUUGUGUUAGUCAACAUGGGUAAUGGAGAGGCAAAAAGUUCAUCGGAUAUCUGCUGACCAGCAUUGAAAACCAUUCAAAUGUUGAUGACGAGCUUGUGGACCAUGAGAGUCCAGUCAUACAUUCUUACACAAAUGGUCAAAUCCAGUUUGUAGACCCAAAGGAUGUCAGCACAUGGCGUGAUGAUAGUCAAGAUUCAGAGGAGUUGAAGGUACAGGACAUGUUGAAUACAACAUCUUCCAUAAGUGAUUUAGUAACAGGCGAGCUUAUUUGUGAAAGCUCAGUUCGUCGAAAGGUUCCUGAUCAUAUUUGGUACUUGCACCAAUAUCCAGGAUACUUUGUUCUUAAUGUAGAGUGCAAGCAGGUGCCUGACUAUAGUGCUAGGAUCAAGUGCAUUCACCAAAUGUUGACACAGAUGCAUUUUCAGAACUCUGUAUUUGGCCUUGUUAUUUAAAAAAAAACCUGGAUUCUUAUAGUUAUCUACAAAAAUGGUGACCGAUUCUCAGUAAAUCAAAUAAGCAGGUCGCUCAUCGAUUGUGAAGCAAAUUUUGAUAUUGAAAACUUCAAGUUUUUGUGCUCUUGGCUGUACAGGAUCCUAGACUACAGACUAAAAUGUUUAGCUGGCUAAUUUUGGGGACACGAGUCAGACUCGUGUCUGGCAAUAAUGUCUGGUACAUGUGCAGUACAUUGUGUAUUGUAUUAUUAGAUGGUGUUGCACUGCAAAGGCUAUAAGAUUAAAACACCCGUGAGAAUUUCAUGGUUUACAGUAUUUAAUACUGUACAGUGUCUGUCUGAAAAAAAUAUAUUGGAAGAAUCAUGGGACAAUUUAUCAUUGUUACUUAAAUACAUGUAGGUCUUCUUUCACAUGGCAUCAUGGUUGGUUUGUCUCUAUGGGGACCACCAUAAAUGAUAAGGCCACGCUUAGUUUAUUCAUCCAUUGGCAUUCGGAUCCUCUGACCUUUGAAAAAUCGGAAAAUGAAAAGAAAAAAUUUCCCAACGAGACAUUUUGCACCGUUUUAAUUUUUAGCUCAGCUGACAAAGUCAGCGGAGCUAGUAGAAUAGCUGUUCAAAUGGUGUCCGUCCUGCAAUCCAUCCAUCCAUCCAUCCAUCCAUCCAUCUAGGGACCCAUCUGUGGACAAAAUUGGACAUUUCUGAUUGGGAAGGCCUAGCCACUUCGUUGACGGUGCUAAAUUAGGAGUUGCCCAAGGUGAACUCAAAACACGAAAAAUCAGCGCGAUCCGACCUGUAUUAAGAGAAUGAGGUCAUUUCGCGUUUAGAUUUCUUUCCCUUUUUACCUCGGUCCACAGAGCAAAUAUUGUUUUCAAAUGUGGCUGAAUAUUUUUUAAUAUUUUUUAAUUUUUUACUUUUAAUGGAAUUAAUAUAGUUUUCACCGCCAGUUGGCGCUGCAGGCACAUUGACUGAAUUUUGGCGAUUUCAAAUUUGGCGGUGGCUCAACUUUUUGCAAGCAGUGCCGCUGAUUGGCCGAUCGACAGAAGAGAUGCCACCAUUUAAAAAUGGCGGUAGUCGCUGCUUCAAUGAAGAUGAGUGAACUUUCUCAUGUUCAAUCGGUUGAUACUCUUUUAAUCAACAUGACCAUGUACCUGAAAUUUGUUUAGGUACUGAGAAGAGUCUAUAUAAUUCAGAUUUAUCGAUAGUUUUUUAUAAUAUUGCGGAAAUUUUGUGCACAAAUUAGCGAAAGUUGGUGCUCGUCUCAUGUCAUUUUAGAGCGAGAAAUUUGUUUCCGUCGAUCUCUACCACUGAAAAAUCGCUUGCAUAGCUUCGAAUUUUUGUGAAAAUAAGUAUCUGAACUUGGUUUCAAAUAGUCUAGAGAGUUACCUUUGUGGUGAUACAUAUGGUAUGUGAUAAAUAUUUGUAGAAUUUGUGAAAUUCGGUUUUCAAACGUGCCGAUGAAGCAAGCGAUCUCGCGUGAAUUUUGCAAGUCCUGAUAUGUCGUCCGGGUGUCAAAAAUCACUCGCCUAAAUUCAAUUCAAAGAUCAAAAAUAAUAUCUGAACUUAGUUUCAAAUAGCCUACCCAAUUAUCAUUUCGGUGAUAUAUAAUGCAUGCAUGUAAUAAUUGAUUAAUCUGCCUAAAACGCGCAAUUAAAACGGCGAAAGAUCGUGAUAAACACUCUGGUGGCGGUCGCACUAAAUAACGACCGGUAGGGCCCGGCGUGUGGCGGAGAAAAAAAGGUAGCGCCCGGAGGUUGAAACGGGAUUU